ACUCCUACGGGAGGCAGCAGUGGGGAAUAUUGCACAAUGGGGGAAACCCUGAUGCAGCCAUGCCGCGUGUGUGAAGAAGGCCUUCGGUUGUAAGCACUUUCAGUAGGGAGGAAGGUAGUGUAGUUAACACCUGCAUUAUUUGACGUUACCUACAGAAGAAGCACCGGCUAACUCCGUGCCAGCAGCCGCGGUAAUACGGAGGGUGCGAGCGUUAAUCGGAAUUACUGGGCGUAAAGCGCAUGCAGGCGGCCUGUUAAGUCAGAUGUGAAAGCCCGGGGCUUAACCUCGGAAUUGCAUUUGAAACUGGCAGGCUAGAGUCUUGUAGAGGGGGGUAGGAA
rnacentral:rRNA from 1 species